CCAACGUGUAAUACCCUGGGAGAUCAUUUUUUUCAGGCUCUGUCCACCUGGCUUAGUGGAACCUAGGGCUCUGCCCCAUGAUGUACAGUCCUUUCUACAGCAUUGGAGGUGAAGCUGGGUCUGGUGGAUCUGCAUAUUCCUGUAGCUUCUCAGAGUCCUGUGGACAAUCACUAGGGAGACAAACCAUGCAGGAAACAUGU
rnacentral:snoRNA from 1 species